rnacentral:misc_RNA from 1 species
CUGCAGCCCGACUUGAACGGAGCUCUUUUUCUGAAAAAAGGUGUGGGAAAAGCCCGGGAGAUUUUUCAGAAAAAAGCGGGAGUGGAAGGCGGAUUAAGC